GUGGGGACAGAAGUAAGAGAGGUGAUGAGACCAGGAGACAGGGAGAGCAGGGGUCCUUGCACCCAUCUUUUCCACAACCUGCACUCGGGAUGUUCCUUGGGCAUGCUCUGUCUCAGGCCCAGUGCUUCCAGACAGAGCACACGGCCCUGGCCAGGUCUGUUCCCCUGUCCUGAUCAGCAUGGAGCAGGAGGUUCACAAGGAGGCCAAGUCAGCUCCCUGCCCCGACAAGGGCCAUCUCAAUAAAGAGCUGAAUCGGCUCCCAUCCCUUCCUCCAAGCUGGGGCAAAGUCAAAUACAGGCGCCUCCUACCCCAGGGAACUUUGGCCCCAGCCCUGCCUGAGCCCAGAUCAGACAGAGGACGACAAGAGGUGUGCAGCCCGGUGGAAAGGCAGCUGUGAUGAGGUUUGGCCGACAGAACAGCCUAGCCUGCUCCUGCCCUGUGAGCUGAGGGAACUGAGAACAGAUGUGAAUGGCCGAAGUCACUGGCCAGUAGGCUCUCCGAAGCUCUGCCUGUUGACAUGUAUCAGUAAGAAUGGAGGGUCCCACUCUCAGCAGGAGAAUCUCUGUCGCUGACAAUGAGGUAUUAACUCUAUUUUCAACCCUGGCGCAGAGUUUCAGAUAAGGGGUUUCCGGGACACAACAUUCUACCUCUAUCUUUAGUGCCAAGAAGAUAGGGCCUUGGGUCCUAGUCCCAGUCCAGAUCUGAAACUGAACUCUGCCUUCAUCCUGCUCCCACUUACCUAGAGGGUCUGGGAAUCUUAUUCUGGAGCCCCCAAAGGCUCUCUUCCCUCCUAAUCCAUCCCGUCACCCCAGUCCCAUGCUUCUCCCAUUGCCGUCUCCUCUUCUAUAUAUCCAUCCCUAGAAGUCCCGUCUGGGUCCCCCUUCCCACCGAUUACUUCUCUCCCUUCAUCCCCAUUAAAGCCUCGUGCUCCUUUCUAAGGGGCUCCCUCCUCCUUGGCUCCCUGCAGCGGAACCUGAGUGCGGGAGUACCUGCGCCCCACCGGAUGGGCCACCGGCGAGUGGUCCACCCGGAAGUGCGCCUCCCCUAAGAGCUCCCCAGACCCCGGCACUGGGCCGCGA